GGACCCCUAGCUCAGUGGUAGAGCGUGAGAUUCCAGCUUAUUUGUGUUUCCUCAAGGUCAUCCGUUCAAUCCGGGUGGGGUUCA
rnacentral:tRNA from 1 species